UCGAGACGUUCAUCCUGCGUCUGACCGAUAUGUCAAAACUAAGCAUAACUGGCGGAAACCCAGAGGUAUUGACAACAGGUUUUGUAGUAGGUUCAAGGGCCAGAUCUUGAUGCCCAACAUUAUGGGAGCAACAACAACAACAACAAAAAAACAAAGCACAUGCUACCCACUGGCUUCCGUUAAGUUCCUGGUCCACAAUGCCAAGCAGCUAGAAGUGCUGCUUAUGUGCAACAAAUCUUACGUGCUGAGAUCGCUCACAGUGUUUCCUCCAAGAACCGCAAGGCCAUCAUGGAAAGAGCUGCCCAGCUGGCCAUCAGAGUCACCAACCCCAAUGCCAGGCUGCGCAGCGAAGAAAAUGAGAUCGGGAGAGCG